AAGUAUUUAGUGUGGAGGAGAGAAACGUGAAGAGGUUUUCCAGAUAAUCGCGUGUUACUCCAGUGUGAUGGAGGGUACGAGACCAGAUUCACCUGAACCCAGCUGUGUCUCCAUGAAGAGCGACCGGUCAAUGGAGCUUCCAAUUCACUUUAAAGAUGGAGGAUGUUCUACUGAUCUGAGUGUGAUGGAGGGUAGGAGACCAGAUUCACCUGAACCCAGCUGUGUCUCCAUGAAGAGUGACCGGUCAAUAGAUAAUCCACAAAACUUUAAAGAUGGAGGAUGUUCUACUGAUCUGAGAACACAAAAGAAGAAAUUAAAUGUUACUUAUCAGUUGGAAUCCAUAUUUAAGGAACUGGAGCUCAAAGUCAUCAGCAUGUUAAAGAAUGAGCUAAACAAGUUCAAAAAGCUACUGAAUGAAGAUUACCCAGCAUGCUCUGAGCAGGAGGUAAAGGAUGUGGAAGAUCCGAGUAGUUUCAGAGAGGGGGCGCUAAAGAUCACACUAAAUGUUCUGAAGAUCAUGAACCAGACAGACCUCGCUAACACCCUGCAGAGGAAACUAUUAGUCCCUGCAUAUCAGAAAAAACUCAAAUCCAAUCUGAGAGAAAAAUUUAAAAGAAUCAGUGAAGGAAUCUCCCAGCAUGGAAGCUCAGCACUUCUGAAUGAGAUCUUCACAGAGCUCUACAUCACAGAGGGUUGGAGUGAAGGUGUCAAUAAAGAACAUGAGGUCAGACAGAUUGAAGCUACAUCCAGGAGACCAGCAGUACAGGAGAUUUCCAUCAAAUGCACUGACCUCUUUAAAGACGCGUCCAUCAGAACUGUGCUGACUAAAGGAAUCGCUGGAAUUGGAAAAACAGUCUCAGUGCAGAAGUUCAUUCUGGACUGGGCUGAAGGGAAAGCCAAUCAGGACGUUGUCUUCAUAUUUCCACUUCCUUUUAGAGAGCUGAACUUGAUGAAGCAGGAAAACCUCAGUCUGAUGGAACUUCUUCAUCAGUUUUUCCCAGAAGUGAAAGGUCUGCCAUCAUUAGACUGUGAUGCUUAUAAAGUUUUGUUCAUCUUUGAUGGUCUGGAUGAGUGUCGACUUCCUCUAGAUUUUCAAAAUAAUGAGCGAUUGUGUAACAUAACAAAGUCAGUAAAAAUGGAUGUGCUGCUGACAAACCUCAUCAAGGGGAACCUGCUUCCCUCUGCUCUCCUCUGGAUCACCACUCGACCAGGAGCAGCCAAUCAGAUCCCUACUGAGUGUGAAGCCCAGGUAACAGAGGUACGAGGGUUCAGUGACCCUCAGAAAGAGGAGUACUUCAAGAAGAGGAUCAGUGAUGAGAACCUGGCCAGAAAAAUCAUCACUCACAUGAAGUCAUCAAGAAGCCUCUACAUCAUGUGUCACAUUCCAGUUUUCUGCUGGAUCUCAGCCUCUGUUCUAGAGAGAAUUCUGGGUGGAGCCGAGGGGAAAGAGAUCCCCAAAACUCUGACUCAAAUGUUCACUUACUUUCUGAUCUUUCAGAUAAAACACAAGGAACAAAAGUACCAUGGGAAAUCUGACCCUGAUCCACACCAGACCAGUGAGAUGAUACUGUCACUGGGAAAACUGGCCUUCCAACAGAUGGAGAAAAGAAACCUGAUCUUCUAUAAAGAAGACCUGACAGAAUGUGGCAUCAAUGUUAAAAACACAUCAGUGUACUCAGGAGUCUGUACCCAGAUCUUCAAAAAAGAGGCUGGUCUGCACAUAGGUCAGGUCUUCAGCUUUGUGCACCUGAGUGUUCAGGAGUUUCUGUCUGCUUUAUAUGUAUUUCUCACCUUCAUCAACAAAAACAGAAAUGUGCUGGUGAUACAAAACACUGGAUUAUUUAACAUCUUUAGAAACUAUACAAACAUGUCUGACUUUCUGAAGAGUGCAGUGGACAAGGCCUUACAGAGUAAGAAUGGACACCUGGAUCUUUUCCUCCGCUUCCUCCUGGGUCUCUCACUGGAGUCCAAUCAGACUCUCUUACGAGACCUACUGACACAAACAGGAAGUAGCUCUUACAACAAAGAGGAAACAGUCAGGUACAUCAAGAAGAAGAUCAGUGAGAAUCCCUCUCCAGAGAAAUCCAUCAAUCUGUUCCACUGUCUGAAUGAACUGAACGAUGAUUCUCUAGUGCAGGAAGUCCAACAAUACCUGAACAGAGAAGGUUCUGUUCAUCAUGAUGGACUCCGUCUGUCUCCUGCUCAGUGGUCGGCUCUGGUGUUUGUGUUGCUGAACUCAGAUCAGAAGCUGGAUGAGUUUUAUUUGAGGAAAUAUUAUCCAUCACAUGAAGGUCUUCUGAAGCUCCUGCCAGUGGUGAAAGAAUCAAGAAGAGCUGAGUUGUGGAAGUGUGAUCUAACAGAGGAAAGUUGUGAAGUUCUGUCCUCAGUUCUCAGUUUAAACUCCUCCAGUCUGAAACAUCUGGACCUGAGUAACAAUAAACUGAAGGAUUCAGGAGUGAAGCUGCUCUCUGCUGGACUGGAGAAUCCACACUGUACACUGGAGAUACUGGAGUUGGCUGGUUGUUCUCUAACAGAGGAAAGUUGUGAAGUUCUGUCCUCAGUUCUCAGUUUAAACUCCUCCAGUCUGAAACAUCUGAACCUGAGUAACAAUAAACUGAAGGAUUCAGGAGUGAAGCUGCUCUCUGCUGGACUGGAGAAUCCACACUGUAAACUGGAGAUACUGGAGUUGAGGAGCUGCAGUAUUACAGAUGAAGGUUUUACUGCUCUGGCUUCAGCUCUGAAAUCAAAUCCAUCAUCACGUCUGAGAGAACUGCAACUGAUCAACAAUAAUCCAGGAGAAUCAGGAGUAAAACUGCUCAAAGAUCUACAGGUGGAUCCACAAUGUAACCUGAAGAAACUACACGUCUGAUUCUAACACAUAUUGAAUUGUAAGAAGAUGAAGAGCAGUGAAGAUAAACACCAUCUACUCUUCACACUGAGAUUCUACAUGUGAUGCAAUUUGUCAGAGUGGAGUGAAGUUCAGUAUUAAUGGAUUUGGAGGAGAUGUAAAGCUGAAUAUCAUCAGCAUAGCAGUGGAAAUGUAAACCAUGCCGACGUAUGAUGUCACCAAGGGGGAGCAUAUAAAGAAUAAACAAAAGGGGACCUAACACUGAGCCUUGGGGAACGCCUUGGGACAGUGGAGCAAUGGCAGAACUACAAUUGUUGAUAUUAACAAACUGUUGUCUGUUUACGAGAUAUGACCUUAACCACAAAAGGGCAGUACCAGUGAUGUUGACAGAGGAUUCAAGGCGGGACAGAAGAAUGGAGUGAUUAAUGGUGUCAAAAGCUGCAGUAAGAUCAAGGAGGACGAGAAUAUUAAUUUGUCCAGAGUCUGACUUUGUUCAGCUUCUUUAUGUUCUAAUCUGUAAACUGUCAUGACAUCACUUCCUGCACAAGAUCAACACUCUUAAACCCACUCUGAAGUGCUGAUGGACCUUCAUCAGCUCCUUCUGUACAUCAGUACUGUGUAUAGUGCAGUACACAGUGCAGUAAGACUGGAGAGUCCAUCAGGUUACUGCUACUAGCAGUAUUAAUCUGGUAGACUGAAUGCUGAGUAUCUGGUACAGGUGAGUUAGGAGCUGUGAAACAGCUUGAUGCAUUAGCAUGCUGUUCACUAUCUGGCCUGUAAUGAAGUUUAAAUAAGUUUAAAGCUACUGGAGAUGUUGAGAUUCUGCCAGGACGAGAACAUGAGGAGGAUUACUCGAAAUCAGAACAUUUCUCUACAGAACCACAAGAUGUUUAGAAGGCUGGCUGAAGAAAGGCUCUUCUGUAUGAUUCUCACCCUGGAACUUGGCAAGGGACCUUGUUACAAAAGACAUCAAACAGUAGAGGUCCUGGGUUGAGGGGUACAUAAUCAGACCACAGUUUUGUACAGGCUAUUACCCACAAUCCACUGUGAUGUUUUUUUACAAGCACAGGUUUCCAUACACCAGAGCGCUUGAGGUUCCUCAGCGGCUUCACCUGCUGCACAUGCGCUGUUGGACCGAGCCGGUAAACUUGGACUGUUCACUCUGCGCAUGUGUAAACUUUCUCAGCACUUUUUAAACUGCUUAUUUAUGUAAAUACAGACUGUAAGACAAAUAUCAUUAAAACUUCACAUCAAGAAA